rnacentral:rRNA from 1 species
UACGAAGGGGGCUAGCGUUGCUCGGAAUCACUGGGCGUAAAGCGCACGUAGGCGGAUUGCUAAGUCAGGGGUGAAAUCCUGGAGCUCAACUCCAGAACUGCCUUUGAUACUGGCGGUCUCGAGUCCGGGAGAGGGUGAGUGGAACUGCGAGUGUAGAGGUGAAAUUCGUAGAUAUUCGCAAGAACACCAGUGGCGAAGGCGGCUCACUGGCCCGAUACUGACGCUGAGGUGCGAAAGCGUGGGGAGCAAACAGGG